UACAGAGGGUGCAAGCGUUAAUCGGAAUUGCUGGGCGUAAAGCGUGCGUAGACGGUCAUGUAAGUCGGGUGUGAAAGCCCCGGGCUCAACCUGGGAAUUGCAUUCGAGACUGCAUGGCUAGGGUGCGGAAGAGGGAAGCGGAAUUUCCGGUGUAGCGGUGAAAUGCGUAGAUAUCGGAAGGAACACCAGUGGCGAAAGCGGCUUCCUGGUCCAGCACCGACGUUCAGGCACGAAAGCGUGGGGAGCAAACAGG
rnacentral:rRNA from 1 species